rnacentral:rRNA from 1 species
GACGUAGGGCGCGAGCGUUGUCCGGAUUUAUUGGGCGUAAAGAGCUCGUAGGCGGCUUGUCGCGUCGACUGUGAAACCGAUGGCGUCAACCAUGUGGUCUGCAGUCGAUACGGGCAGGCUAGAAUUCGGUAGGGGAGACUGGAAUUCCUGGUGUAGCGGUGAAAUGCGCAGAUAUCAGGAGGAACACCGGUGGCGAAGGCGGGUCUCUGGGCCGAUAUUGACGCUGAGGAGCGAAAGCGUGGGGAGCGAACAGG